UACGUAGGGAGCAAGCGUUGUCCGGAAUUACUGGGUGUAAAGGGUGCGCAGGCGGUCCUGCAAGUCUGGAGUGAAACGUAUGAGCUCAACUCAUGCAUGGCUCUGGAAACUGGAGGACUGGAGAGCAGGAGAGGGCGGUGGAACUCCACGUGUAGCGGUAAAAUGCGUAGAUAUAUGGAAGAACACCAGUGGCGAAGGCGGCCGCCUGGCCUGUUGCUGACGCUGAGGCACGAAAGCGUGGGGAGCAAAUAGG
rnacentral:rRNA from 1 species